AUUGAACGCUGGCGGCAGGCCUAACACAUGCAAGUCGAGCGGUAGAGAGAAGCUUGCUUCUCUUGAGAGCGGCGGACGGGUGAGUAAUGCCUAGGAAUCUGCCUGGUAGUGGGGGAUAACGCUCGGAAACGGACGCUAAUACCGCAUNCGUCCUACGGGAGAAAGCAGGGGACCUUCGGGCCUUGCGCUAUCAGAUGAGCCUAGGUCGGAUUAGCUAGUUGGUGAGGUAAUGGCUCACCAAGGCGACGAUCCGUAACUGGUCUGAGAGGAUGAUCAGUCACACUGGAACUGAGACACGGUCCAGACUCCUACGGGAGGCAGCAGUGGGGAAUAUUGGACAAUGGGCGAAAGCCUGAUCCAGCCAUGCCGCGUGUGUGAAGAAGGUCUUCGGAUUGUAAAGCACUUUAAGUUGGGAGGAAGGGCAGUAACCUAAUACGUUGCUGUCNUGACGUUACCGACAGAAUAAGCACCGGC
rnacentral:rRNA from 1 species